rnacentral:rRNA from 1 species
AUUGAACGCUGGCGGCAUGCCUUACACAUGCAAGUCGAACGGUAACAGGUCUUCGGAUGCUGACGAGUGGCGAACGGGUGAGUAAUACAUCGGAACGUGCCUAGUAGUGGGGGAUAACUACUCGAAAGAGUGGCUAAUACCGCAUGAGAUCUACGGAUGAAAGCAGGGGAUCGCAAGACCUUGUGCUACUAGAGCGGCCGAUGGCAGAUUAGGUAGUUGGUGGGAUAAAAGCUUACCAAGCCGACGAUCUGUAGCUGGUCUGAGAGGACGAUCAGCCACACUGGGAGUGAGACACGGCCCAGACUCCUACGGGAAGCAGCAGUGGGGAAUUUUGGACAAUGGGCGAAAGCCUGACCCAGCAAUGCCGCGUGCAGGAUGAAGGCCUUCGGGUUGUAAACUGCUUUUGUACGGAACGAAAAGCCCCGGGUUAAUACCCUGGGGUCAUGACGGUACCGUAAGAAUAAGCACCGGCUAACUACGUGCCAGCAGCCGCAGUAA